CAGCAGCCACGGGAAUACGGAGGGUGCAAGCGUUAAUCGGAAUUACUGGGCGUAAAGCGCACGCAGGCGGUCUGUCAAGUCAGAUGUGAAAUCCCCGGGCUUAACCUGGGAACUGCAUUUGAAACUGGCAGGCUAGAGUCUUGUAGAGGGGGGUAGAAUUCCAGGUGUAGCGGUGAAAUGCGUAGAGAUCUGGAGGAAUACCGGUGGCGAAGGCGGCCCCCUGGACAAAGACUGACGCUCAGGUGCGAAAGCGUGGGGAGCAAACAGGAUUAGAUACCCGUGUAGUCCCUGUCUUUAUACC
rnacentral:rRNA from 1 species